AAGUGUCAAGGAACUCGUGGGCCUCUUCUCCCACAUAAAAAGCAGCAUGCAACCGCGCCAUUGCGCCGACCAUCUGAAGGUAGGUCAAACGACAAGUGGGCUCUACAACAUAUUUGUUGGGAAAGAGGACAGCAAAGGAAAAGUCGUCUACUGCGACAUGGACACAGACGGAGGAGGCUGGACGGUCAUUCAGAGACGAGGACAAUUCGGCA
rnacentral:lncRNA from 1 species